rnacentral:tRNA from 1 species
GGUGGCUCAGUGGUAGAGUGCUUGCCUAGCAUGCAUGAAGCCCUGGGUUCCAUUCCUGGGUACCA